AGAAACAUAAACAACAAGUUGCUUUUUUAAAAGUUAGAAGCUUUUUUUAUUUGUUUCUU
rnacentral:tRNA from 1 species